UACGGAGGGAGCUAGCGUGGUUCGGAGUUACUGGGCGUAAAGGGUGCGUAGGCGGUUGUUUAAGGUUGGUGUGAAAUCUCCCGGCUCAACUGGGAGGGUGCGCCGAAUACUGAAUGACUAGAGUGCGGGAGAGGAGAGUGGAAUUCCUGGUGUAGCGGUGAAAUGCGUAGAUAUCAGGAGGAACACCGGUGGUGUAGACGGCUCUCUGGACCGUAACUGACGCUGAGGCACGAAAGCGUGGGUAGCAAACAGG
rnacentral:rRNA from 1 species